rnacentral:rRNA from 1 species
AUGGGGGGCAUGGGCUUCCGAGAUCUUAGGUUAUUUAAUCAAGCUCUCUUGUCCAAACAAGUGUGGCGGUUAUUGGUGUACCCAGAUUCUUUGCGUGCUAAGCUUUUGAAGGUAAAAUAUUACCCCAGUGGCCACAUCCUGAAUAUUGUCUUCCCGCAAGCUACUUCGGUGAAUUGACAAGGUAUUAUGCAUGGCCUGCAGCUGUUAAAAAAGGGUCAUCUGGAGAGUGGCCAAUGGUAA